rnacentral:lncRNA from 1 species
GUAAACAAGGAUUGUAUAAAUAAUUGAAAUCGAUAGAAAAUUCCCAAAACUGAUUCGGAGUCUACAUAUAGUUACAUAUAAGGAC